rnacentral:snoRNA from 1 species
CCUCCUUUUCUUGGCGGGGACCGGGCGUGUGGUCCCGCUCCCCGUUAUGUACGGAGGCAGAGUGAAAGGGCUCCGGCGUCAUGUCUUCGGUGCCGGCGGCUUCACAUCCGCCGGUUCUAUCCUCAAGCGCCGGGACACUG